GGCCGAGGAGGCGCCAAGAGCGAGCGAGGGCUGCGACGACUGCCAGCAUGCUGUCACCUCUCACUAUGACUGUCUGGGAUCUGCUUUAUAAAUAAACAAGCUUCCUACAAUUAUCCUCAUCUCAUGGAAAAACUAGACAGAGGAAAAGAAAAGAGGCAAAUGGAGCUUCCUUUGCUAAGAGCUCAAAUAACUCUCCUCUACAUAGUCUUCUUCAAACAAAAACACAAAGCUAAUUUUCCAUUUACUCUUUGAGAGUUCCACAGAAAAACAAAAAAACCAAGUGACAUUAAUUGAUACUGGACACAAUCUGUGAUAUCAGUGAUUAAGUUGGAGUUAUGCAAGUGGAUCAUUUGCCACCAACCAGAAAAUAAGGAUUCCUUUCAAGUGGAUGUGGGAUAUGAAUAUUUUUUGGCACAAGACAGUAGUUCAAUUGGUAAAAAUUUCAUCAAUGGUGACUUUGGAGAAUGUCAUGUUGCAGGUGAAUGUCCUAACCAGGACAAUAUUCAUGCAUUUGAAAAAUCCAGCGUGAGAAACAUAGAAAGGCUAAGGUCAGAGAUCUGCUUGGGAAAACUUGAGGCAUUAAAAUAUUGGAAGAGGACAUCUGGGUAAAUUUCCCCAAGGAUCUACAACUUGAGAGCCUAAAGAAUUGACCCACCAUUCUCUAUGAAGAGCUAGACAUUUUCUCAUGCAAGAAGAUACUUCAGAGGCCACUUUCACAUAAGAUAAAUGGUAUGUUUAUCAGGAAUUACUCCCACUUUUUCUCUAGGCUUCUAGGCUAAAAAUCAUGGCUAAAUUCCAGCAUAACCCAGCUGAGGGAUAAAAACAUACUGGGACUGAUAAGUAAGAAAAGAGAUAAUCAUUUCAUUAAGUUCAAUAAUUAGCUAGUAUGUGCUUUCAGGAUUCAGAAUAGUAUCCAUGAGAUUGGAUGUUUGAGUAUGCCGUGGUUUGAAUGUAUCCUUCAAAAUUCAUAUGUUGGAAACUUAAGUCCCAGUGCAACAGUGUUGAGAGGUGAGAACUUUAAAAAGUAGUUAGAUCAUGAGGGCUGUGAACCCUGAAAGAGCCAAUCCUUUAAGAUGGAACCUGAGUGGCUAACUGGGCCUAAAUUCAAACGGGAGCUGAGUUCCAUUUGCUGACCAGACAUUACACAUGCACUCUUCAUUCUUGGAAAAACCACAUAUUGGUAUAACUGUGAGAUUCUCAUAUCUGCCUAUUUCUGUUUAUACUCCUGAGCCAAUGGUUACCAUCACUUUGAUCUAACCAAUAGCCUGUGACCCACAGUGAAACUUAACCUCAACCAGCUGAAACUAAGCAAGCUUGCAUCCCUCAUUUGCACAGCAUAGCAUAGUGGGAACCUCAGCAGGAACUUUUUCUAUAAAGGACAACCCCUGUCUUUGUUCUGGUAGAACACAUCUUUGUUUUGUAUUGAAGGCUGUGUAUCCCCCGUUCACAAACCGCUUGUGGAAAUAAAGCCUCUUUAAAUCUGAUACUUCUUUUUCAGUAGUCUUGUUAACAAGACUCUGUCCUCAUUAAUGCAUUAGUACCAUUAUUGCAGGAAUGAGUUUCUGAUAAAAAGAUGAAUUUUACUUCCUUCCCUCUGUUUUGCAUGUGCUCUCUUGCCCUUCUGCCUUCUCCAUGGGAUGACACAGGAAGAAGACCAUCACCAGAGAUGAAUGGACAUUUGAUAUUACCAAGAAUAUGCAUAAUGACUUGGAAGUUACCAUUUGAACAAUUGACAUUCUUGAGCAUCUUAGGUUGGAUUUCCUAGGAACAGAACCUGUGACAGGAAUUCAGGUGGAGCUGUUUUAGGCUGGGUGCUGUGGCCCAGGCCUGGAAUCCCAGCACUUCAG
rnacentral:lncRNA from 1 species